UACAGAGGGUGCGAGCGUUAAUCGGAGUUACUGGGCGUAAAGGGCGCGUAGGCGGUUAUAUAAGUGAGAUGUGAAAUCCCUGGGCUUAACCUAGGAACUGCAUCUCAUACUGUAUGACUGGAGUAUUGUAGAGGGUAGUGGAAUUUCCGGUGUAGCGGUGAAAUGCGUAGAGAUCGGAAGGAACACCAGUGGCGAAGGCGGCUACCUGGACAAAUACUGACGCUGAGGCGGCGAGAGCGUGGGGAGCAAACAG
rnacentral:rRNA from 1 species